rnacentral:lncRNA from 1 species
UUAAGGACUAACAGACAACUCAGCAAUAAUGUCAAUAAAACUUAACACUAGUUAUAACAAGAAGUAGCAUUCAAGCAAAUAUUUGAAAUGAAUACACAGUUUGUGAUCCCAAACAAUUGAAAAGCAUUUUCCAAACCACGAACUCAAUAGAAAAACAAAAAUCUUCACAUGGUCAUCUAAAAUGAGAAAUGAGAGGAAUGCAGUUAGCCACUAUUUUGAGAUAAAGAAAAUUAUUACGAAGCCAUGUCAAACACAUCUGUG